rnacentral:rRNA from 1 species
GGCGGCGUGCUUAACACAUGCAAGUCGAGCGGAAAGGCCCUUCGGGGUACUCGAGCGGCGAACGGGUGAGUAACACGUGAGCAACCUGCCCUAGGCUUUGGGAUAACCCUCGGAAACGGGGGCUAAUACCGAAUACGACCUUUCAUCGCAUGAUGUUUGGUGGAAAGUUUUUCGGCCUGGGAUGGGCUCGCGGCCUAUCAGCUUGUUGGUGGGGUGAUGGCCUACCAAGGCGACGACGGGUAGCCGGCCUGAGAGGGCGACCGGCCACACUGGGACUGAGACACGGCCCAGACUCCUACGGGAGGCAGCAGUGGGGAAUAUUGCACAAUGGGCGGAAGCCUGAUGCAGCGACGCCGCGUGAGGGAUGACGGCCUUCGGGUUGUAAACCUCUUUCAGCAGGGACGAAGCGUAAGUGACGGUACCUGCAGAAGAAGCGCCGGCCAACUACGUGCCAGCAGCCGCGGUAAGACGUAGGGCGCGAGCGUUGUCCGGAUUUAUUGGGCGUAAAGAGCUCGUAGGCGGCUUGUCGCGUCGACUGUGAAAACCCGCAGCUCAACUGCGGGCCUGCAGUCGAUACGGGCAGGCUAGAGUUCGGUAGGGGAGACUGGAAUUCCUGGUGUAGCGGUGAAAUGCGCAGAUAUCAGGAGGAACACCGGUGGCGAAGGCGGGUCUCUGGGCCGAUACUGACGCUGAGGAGCGAAAGCGUGGGGAGCGAACAGGAUUAGAUACCCUGGUAGUCCACGCUGUAAACGUUGGGCGCUAGGUGUGGGGGGCCUCUCCGGUUCCCUGUGCCGCAGCUAACGCAUUAAGCGCCCCGCCUGGGGAGUACGGCCGC